UUUUGGGGCAAUUCUCAGCACUUUGGGGCAUUUUCUGUCCCCUUGGCAUCCAUUUCAGGGCAUUUUAGAGUCCUUUGUGGUGUUUUGUGUCCCUUUUGUGUUGUUUUGUGUCCCUUUGGAGUCCAUUUUGUGGUGUUUUGCGUCCCUUGGGGGUCCAUCUUGGGCCACUUUCCCUCACUUUUGGGCCACUUUCCCUCACUUUUGGGCCACUUUCUGGCGUGGCCCCGCCACGGCAGCGGCGGCGAGGAUGAGGAGGGGCAGGAGGUGGAGGCAGAAGCCGACGGAGGCCCAGUAGCGCAGCGUGUGGCGGGCGCCCAGCAGCACGAAGCCCAUGCAGAGGUAGUCGUAGGCGCGCAUCUUCAGGAACCACUGCAGGCCGCGGGCCAGCGGUGGCCCCCCCGGGGCCAGCAGCCCCCCCAGGGCCUUCUCGGCCGCCCGCUCGGCCGCCAGCCACAGCGGCACGCUCAGGAAGCUCAGGUAGUAGCCGGGGUGCAGCCCGUGCCAGUAGGCCGAGACCAGCAUGGUGCAGGCGCUCCUGGGGGGCACAGGCACCAGUAUAACCAGUAUGCCCAGUGACCCCCCCGCAGUGCCUCCCAGUACCUCCCAGUACACAUAAAGCCUCACACCAGUGCCUCCCAGUACAACCAGCACACACAAAUCCUCAUCCCAGUGCUUCCCAGUGCCCCCCAGUACCCCUCCCAGUGCCUCCCAAUGCCCCAAAUCCCCCUCCUAGUGCCCCCAACUCCCCUCCCAGUGCCUCCCAGUGGCUCCCAGUGGCAUACCUCAGCACGGGGGGGGCUGCGGGGGGCGCGGCGGUGGAUGUAGUGUGCCAGCCACCACUGCACGGUCAUGUUCCAGUGCCGCAUGCCCUCGCGGAAGCGGACGCAGAAGUCGGUGCCCAGGGGGUCGAUGUUGUGCACGGCCUCGUAGUCAAAGAGCUCCCCUGGCACCUCCCGCGUCCUGGGGGGGGGUUGGGGUGAUUUGGGGGCUUUUUGGGGUUUUGAGGGGUUUCUGGUUUUUGGGGGGAUUUUGGGGGGUUUGGGGGGUUUUGGGGGGAAUUGGGGAGUUUUGGGGGUUUUAGGGAUUUUGGGGAUUUUGGGGCUUUUUGGGGUUUUGGGGGGGGUUCCCCCUCAGUCCCCCUCCCAGUGCCUCCCAGUCCCUCCCAGUGCCCCCAAAUCCCCCUCAAUCCCCCUCCCAGCGCCUGCCAGCACCCCCCAGCGCCCCCCUUACCUAUCAUAGGGCGCUGUGGGACCCUGCCCGGGCCGGGGC
rnacentral:lncRNA from 1 species